rnacentral:lncRNA from 1 species
GGUGGUGAAACUUCCGAUAAGGGUAAGGAGAUUGUACCCGAAGAUCGAGACUAGGAGUACUUCGACUCCCGAUAUUGUGAGUAACCUUAUUAUCAUCUUAAUUAUCUAAAAUAGCUUUUAUUCAUUUUUGUGAUUUUAUAGAAAAAUGAGUUUAAAUGGUAAAUCCUUAUGUUUUAUAAGUAAAAUGUGAUUAAAUGAAAUGAGUUUUGUAAAUCAUUUUGAAAUUGAAUGAUGAUUUUAGAAAUGAAGUAAUUGGAGACUGUUUGAUUGUGCUGUAAAUUUAUGGUUUGAAUUGAAUGGCUUAUGGUGAUAUUGGCAUGAAUGGCUGAAUCAGAAAUUGUGUUGAAAUUGUAUGAACUAUUUGUUUUGCCUUAAUAGGUUGGGUAGUAAUAUAAUUGCCAUGUCAUACUGUCGAAACUUUUAUUAAUUUGGUGGGAUAUUGAUUAGUCAUUGCAGUGGUGGGUUUCCGUGGACCAACUUAUUAAAGAGGGGCACGGUAAACCCAGUUAUAUUUUACCUCGAUACAAGAGGCGCGAAGGGUAUCUCCUGAGGUAAAGCUUUAGAGUUCACUACACGCUAAACCACCACGUGAGGGUGAACUCAGCGAAUGCCAAGGAAC